rnacentral:rRNA from 1 species
GAUGAACGCUGGCGGCGUGCUUAACACAUGCAAGUCGAACGGAAAGGCCCAAGCUUGCUUGGGUACUCGAGUGGCGAACGGGUGAGUAACACGUGGGUGAUCUGCCCUGCACUUCGGGAUAAGCCUGGGAAACUGGGUCUAAUACCGGAUAGGACCACUUUUUGGGUGGUGUGGUGGAAAGUUUUUCGGUGUGGGUUGAGCUCGCGGCCUAUCAGCUUGUUGGUGGGGUAAUGGCCUACCAAGCCGUAGACGGGUAGCCGGCCUGAGAGGGUGUACGGCCACAUUAGAACUGUGAGACGGGCCAGAGUCCGACGGGAGGCAGCAGGGGGGAAUAUUGGACAAUGGGCGGAAGCCUGAGGCAGCGAGGCCGCGGGGGGGAUGAAGGCCUUCGGGUUGUAAGCACCUUUCGCUAAGGACGAAGCGUUUUUGUGACGGUACCUGGAGAAGAAGCACCGGCUAACUACGUG